UAGUUGGUGAGGUAACGGCUCACCAAGGCGACGAUCCGUAGCUGGUCUGAGAGGAUGACCAGCCACACUGGGACUGAGACACGGCCCAGACUCCUACGGGAGGCAGCAGUGGGGAAUCUUGCGCAAUGGGCGAAAGCCUGACGCAGCCAUGCCGCGUGAAUGAUGAAGGUCUUAGGAUUGUAAAAUUCUUUCACCGGGGACGAUAAUGACGGUACCCGGAGAAGAAGCCCCGGCUAACUUCGUGCCAGCAGCCGCGGUAAUACGAAGGGGGCUAGCGUUGCUAGGAAUUACUGGGCGUAAAGGGCGCGUAGGCGGAUCGUUAAGUCAGAGGUGAAAUCCCAGGGCUCAACCCUGGAACUGCCUUUGAUACUGGCGAUCUUGAGUAUGAGAGAGGUAUGUGGAACUCCGAGUGUAGAGGUGAAAUUCGUAGAUAUUCGGAAGAACACCAGUGGGGAAGGGGACAUACUGGCUCAUUACAGACGCUGAGGCGCGAAAGAGUGGGGAGCACACACGAUUAGAUACCCCGGUAGUCCACGCCCUAAAAGAUGAUUGCUAGUUGUCGGGGGCAUGCAGUCCGGUGACGCAGCUAACGCAUAAGCAAUCCCCCUGGG
rnacentral:rRNA from 1 species